GUGCUUGCUUCGGCAGCACAUACACUAAAAUUGGAACGCUACAGAGAAGAUUAGCAUGGACCCUGCAGGAGGAUGACAUGCAAAUCUGUGAAGCAUUCCAUUUUUAA
ensembl:snRNA U6 U6 spliceosomal RNA